rnacentral:rRNA from 1 species
GGGUUGUGAGGUUAAGCGACUAAGCGUACACGGUGGAUGCCCUGGCAGUCAGAGGCGAUGAAGGACGUGCUAAUCUGCGAUAAGCGUCGGUAAGGUGAUAUGAACCGUUAUAACCGGCGAUUUCCGAAUGGGGAAACCCAGUGUGUUUCGACACACUAUCAUUAACUGAAUCCAUAGGUUAAUGAGGCGAACCGGGGGAACUGAAACAUCUAAGUACCCCGAGGAAAAGAAAUCAACCGAGAUUCCCCCAGUAGCGGCGAGCGAACGGGGAGCAGCCCAGAGCCUGAAUCAGUGUGUGUGUUAGUGGAAGCGUCUGGAAAGGCGCGCGAUACAGGGUGACAGCCCCGUACACAAAAAUGCACAUGCUGUGAGCUCGAUGAGUAGGGCGGGACACGUGGUAUCCUGUCUGAAUAUGGGGGGACCAUCCUCCAAGGCUAAAUACUCCUGACUGACCGAUAGUGAACCAGUACCGUGAGGGAAAGGCGAAAAGAACCCCGGCGAGGGGAGUGAAAAAGAACCUGAAACCGUGUACGUACAAGCAGUGGGAGCACAGAGCAAUCUGUGUGACUGCGUACCUUUUGUAUAAUGGGUCAGCGACUUAUAUUCUGUAGCAAGGUUAACCGAAUAGGGGAGCCGAAGGGAAACCGAGUCUUAACUGGGCGUUAAGUUGCAGGGUAUAGACCCGAAACCCGGUGAUCUAGCCAUGGGCAGGUUGAAGGUUGGGUAACACUAACUGGAGGACCGAACCGACUAAUGUUGAAAAAUUAGCGGAUGACUUGUGGCUGGGGGUGAAAGGCCAAUCAAACCGGGAGAUAGCUGGUUCUCCCCGAAAGCUAUUUAGGUAGCGCCUCGUGAAUUCAUCUCCGGGGGUAGAGCACUGUUUCGGCAAGGGGGUCAUCCCGACUUACCAACCCGAUGCAAACUGCGAAUACCGGAGAAUGUUAUCACGGGAGACACACGGCGGGUGCUAACGUCCGUCGUGAAGAGGGAAACAACCCAGACCGCCAGCUAAGGUCCCAAAGUCAUGGUUAAGUGGGAAACGAUGUGGGAAGGCCCAGACAGCCAGGAUGUUGGCUUAGAAGCAGCCAUCAUUUAAAGAAAGCGUAAUAGCUCACUGGUCGAGUCGGCCUGCGCGGAAGAUGUAACGGGGCUAAACCAUGCACCGAAGCUGCGGCAGCGACGCUUAUGCGUUGUUGGGUAGGGGAGCGUUCUGUAAGCCUGUGAAGGUGUGCUGUGAGGCAUGCUGGAGGUAUCAGAAGUGCGAAUGCUGACAUAAGUAACGAUAAAGCGGGUGAAAAGCCCGCUCGCCGGAAGACCAAGGGUUCCUGUCCAACGUUAAUCGGGGCAGGGUGAGUCGACCCCUAAGGCGAGGCCGAAAGGCGUAGUCGAUGGGAAACAGGUUAAUAUUCCUGUACUUGGUGUUACUGCGAAGGGGGGACGGAGAAGGCUAUGUUGGCCGGGCGACGGUUGUCCCGGUUUAAGCGUGUAGGCUGGUUUUCCAGGCAAAUCCGGAAAAUCAAGGCUGAGGCGUGAUGACGAGGCACUACGGUGCUGAAGCAACAAAUGCCCUGCUUCCAGGAAAAGCCUCUAAGCAUCAGGUAACAUCAAAUCGUACCCCAAACCGACACAGGUGGUCAGGUAGAGAAUACCAAGGCGCUUGAGAGAACUCGGGUGAAGGAACUAGGCAAAAUGGUGCCGUAACUUCGGGAGAAGGCACGCUGAUAUGUAGGUGAAGUCCCUCGCGGAUGGAGCUGAAAUCAGUCGAAGAUACCAGCUGGCUGCAACUGUUUAUUAAAAACACAGCACUGUGCAAACACGAAAGUGGACGUAUACGGUGUGACGCCUGCCCGGUGCCGGAAGGUUAAUUGAUGGGGUUAGCGCAAGCGAAGCUCUUGAUCGAAGCCCCGGUAAACGGCGGCCGUAACUAUAACGGUCCUAAGGUAGCGAAAUUCCUUGUCGGGUAAGUUCCGACCUGCACGAAUGGCGUAAUGAUGGCCAGGCUGUCUCCACCCGAGACUCAGUGAAAUUGAACUCGCUGUGAAGAUGCAGUGUACCCGCGGCAAGACGGAAAGACCCCGUGAACCUUUACUAUAGCUUGACACUGAACAUUGAGCCUUGAUGUGUAGGAUAGGUGGGAGGCUUUGAAGUGUGGACGCCAGUCUGCAUGGAGCCGACCUUGAAAUACCACCCUUUAAUGUUUGAUGUUCUAACGUUGACCCGUAAUCCGGGUUGCGGACAGUGUCUGGUGGGUAGUUUGACUGGGGCGGUCUCCUCCUAAAGAGUAACGGAGGAGCACGAAGGUUGGCUAAUCCUGGUCGGACAUCAGGAGGUUAGUGCAAUGGCAUAAGCCAGCUUGACUGCGAGCGUGACGGCGCGAGCAGGUGCGAAAGCAGGUCAUAGUGAUCCGGUGGUUCUGAAUGGAAGGGCCAUCGCUCAACGGAUAAAAGGUACUCCGGGGAUAACAGGCUGAUACCGCCCAAGAGUUCAUAUCGACGGCGGUGUUUGGCACCUCGAUGUCGGCUCAUCACAUCCUGGGGCUGAAGUAGGUCCCAAGGGUAUGGCUGUUCGCCAUUUAAAGUGGUACGCGAGCUGGGUUUAGAACGUCGUGAGACAGUUCGGUCCCUAUCUGCCGUGGGCGCUGGAGAACUGAGGGGGGCUGCUCCUAGUACGAGAGGACCGGAGUGGACGCAUCACUGGUGUUCGGGUUGUCAUGCCAAUGGCACUGCCCGGUAGCUAAAUGCGGAAGAGAUAAGUGCUGAAAGCAUCUAAGCACGAAACUUUCCCCGAGAUGAGUUCUCCCUGACUCCUUGAGAGUCCUGAAGGAACGUUGAAGACGACGACGUUGAUAGGCCGGGUGUGUAAGCGCAGCGAUGCGUUGAGCUAACCGGUACUAAUGAACCGUGAGGCUUAACCUUACAACGCCGAAG